GGCACUGAAGGGACACAAAGAUGAAGCAGAGGUUUGAAGGUGUUUUAAGUCCCAAUGCUGUAUUUACAUCACUGACCAUGAGGUUCUCACAUGCUUGCACUGUGACUUCUGGGCUCGGCAGACUGAAACACGUCCCGGUGACAGAGAAGACCGUCACCACGUAGGAGCUUCCACAUAACAGCCCUCCCGUGGUACACUGGGUCUCUGUAGAGUUACAGUACAGAGGCUGGCCCAUCCCUCUGGAGAUGAUGGUGGUGUAGUUCUCUGAAGGAAUGGAGAUGUUCCAGGUGACCGUCAGCUCUCCGGUAAUGCAGUGUCAAGGGACAUGUUUACAACAUGGAGAGUGUGAUGCAGAGAGGUGAAGAUGAUCCAGGACUUGCCACGCAUGACUCCAGGCGAACGAGAUGGAUUCCUGCUGCCCCACUUUCACACUGACUCUGAUCUGGGUCACCGACAGCCAGCUUCACAACCAGGAGACAGACGGUUUCAGACUGCAGCCGUAUGGAGGUC